UACGGAGGAUCCAAGCGUUAUCCGGAUUUAUUGGGUUUAAAGGGUGCGUAGGCGGCCUGUUAAGUCAGGGGUGAAAGACGGUAGCUUAACUAUCGCAGUGCCUUUGAUACUGAUGGGCUUGAAUCUACUGGAGGCAGGCGGAAUGUGACAAGUAGCGGUGAAAUGCAUAGAUAUGUCACAGAACACCGAUUGCGAAGGCAGCUUGCUAUGGUAGUAUUGACGCUGAGGCACGAAAGCGUGGGGAUCAAACAGG
rnacentral:rRNA from 1 species